rnacentral:rRNA from 1 species
GACGAACGCUGGCGGCGUGCCUAAUACAUGCAAGUCGAACGCUUCUUUCCUCCCGAGUGCUUGCACUCAAUUGGAAAGAGGAGUGGCGGACGGGUGAGUAACACGUGGGUAACCUACCCAUCAGAGGGGGAUAACACUUGGAAACAGGUGCUAAUACCGCAUAACAGUUUAUGCCGCAUGGCAUAAGAGUGAAAGGCGCUUUCGGGUGUCGUUGAUGGAUGGACCCGCGGUGCAUUAGCUAGUUGGUGAGGUAACGGCUCACCAAGGCCACGAUGCAUAGCCGACCUGAGAGGGUGAUCGGCCACACUGGGACUGAGACACGGCCCAGACUCCUACGGGAGGCAGCAGUAGGGAAUCUUCGGCAAUGGACGAAAGUCUGGCCGAGCAACGCCGCGUGAGUGAAGAAGGUUUUCGGAUCGUAAAACUCUGUUGUUAGAGAAGAACAAGGACGUUAGUAACUGAACGUCCCCUGACGGUAUCUAACCAGAAAGCCACGGCUAACUACGUG